rnacentral:misc_RNA from 1 species
UCAUCUCAAUCCAAUGACUUUGCGGUCAUUUGGACUGGAUUUGGGAGUCUGCUGGCCUUACACGAGGUCGGCUCUCCUUGAAUGCAUGAGUGAGCAUCUGGCUCGCGUUGCUAGUGUGAUAAUCUUCAUCAUUGGCGGCGCUUGCCUAAUGGGCUCGCUUUCGAACCGUCUUCUCAUCGGAGACAAAUCUAUUGACAU